UUUGGGCUUUUAACCCGAUCGUUCGGCUGUGCGCCUUUUACCGCGCUGCACGCUGGAAAGGACCCCACACCUGUGCACCUUUUCGGUUGCGGCUUCUGUCGCUGCCGCUUUUAAAUGCAUUAACUCAGUCUCGAAUGUUAACAAAACCAUAAAAAGUAACAACUUUCAACAACGGAUCUCUUGGCUCUCGUUUCGAUAAACAACGCAAGGAAAUGCCAUGGAAAUGUGAAUUGCAAAAUUCAGUGAAUCAUCUAAUCUUUGAACGCAUCUUGCGCUCUUUGGUUUUCUAUGGAACUUGCCUGUUUGAGUGUCACGUACACCCUCCCCCCUGCGAUGU
rnacentral:rRNA from 1 species